rnacentral:misc_RNA from 1 species
GAAAUCUCCGAAACUAUAACACCUACAAACUUGAAAUUUGGCAGGUAGGUUCCUUACAGGGCGUAGACAUUUUUUAAGAACUGAUUUUAUGAAAUUCGACCCUUAAGGGGGUAAAACGGGGGUUGGAAGUUUGUGUGAAAGUCCCAUGUUUUUGAAGUAAGAGACUUGAGAUUUAAAAUGUAUACCUUAUAAAUGAUGAGAA